AGGCCACAUAUUAAUGUACAAGUCAGGGACCAAAUCCUCCUCCCUUCAGUUGCAAACAUCACCCCCGCCUGCCCCCAAGAAGGCCUGGCCCUGCAUAGGCAUAUGUGACAGCUGGCAAUAAAUCCAGAAGGUCUGAUGCCCAAGUUCCCUGUUUGGCCUGCUCAAUCACUUCUUUCUUUAGGGCCUGAUCCAUAGCUCAUUGAAAUUAAUGGACUCUCAUUUCAGUGGACGCAGGACUGAGCACUUAGGUAGUGAAAAGUCUUGGAGUCCUUCCAAAAGGUUCAGCCAGAACUGGACAACAUAACUGAAGGCAUUUCUGUAAUAGCCAUGGUAAGCUGCCAUCCACAAGAAGACUUCCUGUAUCUACUGAGAGAGAACAGGAAGUAACGUUACACCUCCAUGGCGAGCUCAUUAUGAAUAAUUUCUGUGGAAGGCCCUGGCAUUACAUUUCAGGCCGAUUGUCCCUGUAGCACAACCAGCACCUAUCCUGAGUGUUAUUUUCCCCCUGAAGGUAUUCAUGGGUUAUAACUGUAUUUCAUUUUACCAAUCCAGGCUUGGAACUAUGCUUAGGAUGAAAUAUUGUUUCUAAAAUGGGAGGGGGAGUUACAGCUGAACAUGUUGCCAUUUAUAUAAUAAUCCAAAUUCACCUAAUGUUUUAAAGCAAAUCUGACAAUGAAUGUGCUUUGCAUCCACAAAAAUAUACCAACUUACUGCAUAUCUCCGUAGAUGCCGAGCACAGUAUAAUGUAUGAAAUACAGUUCUGCUGUGAAAAUGA